UAGCAGUGAUGAAUCCAAAAUUUGUGACCGGAGGCGCUUGUCGUCAGUGACGGUGCACAACCCUCUAAGAAGUUCUGAGCUC